ACAAAGGAUCAGUAGCCUUUGUGAGGAGGUCGAGAGACUUACAACCGAUGAAGUCACGCCUCAGUCCAGCUGUGCAGGGACAAGGGCCUCUGAAACAUGUCCUUAAAAAACCCCAUGGGAGUUUCCUGCUGAUGCCACACACCCAACAUGAGUCCUGUGACUCUAACACUCCCUGCAGCCCCUCCCACCCUGUGCUGGCCCACCCUCCAUCUCCACCCUCCAGGGUGUGAGCAGAAACC